rnacentral:lncRNA from 1 species
AUGCAGCCUCCAGACCCGCGGGUGACCCGUCCAGCCCGCCCCAGGCGCCAGCUCCCAGGGAUCUGCCCGCGCCGCGGAGACCCGCUCCGCCUGCGAGGGGCCGACAAAGCCCGCGCUGCCGGCGUCNNNNNNNNNNNACCUUCCGGGGCUCCGAGGCGGAGACAAAGCGGCUUGAGUCGUGCCCCGCCAGGCGCGGGGCCCUCCAGCAGAGCUGCCUCCGCGGCUCCUGGCCGAGUCUGGGCAUCCCCGGUUCCGCGAUCCCCGGGUGAUUUCGCUUUCUCUGUCCUGCGCACCCAGCCCGCGCCCGGCCGGGCCGGUAAGCCAGGGUCUUGGUGGGGCUUGGGAGGUCUGCUACCCAGCCCACCCUGCCUCUGCCUCGCUGCGUGCCUUCCCUCGCUGAUCCAUGAGGUCAUGGGACAGGAGUCUGGGCAGAGGCCUAAGGCCUGGAGCCAGGGCCCAGGCUGGACCCCAGAGGCCCUGGUCUGUCCUUCAGCCGGUCAGCUGGGCGCCCAUCUUCGGGUGGAGUGGCAGCUGGGCCCCUACUGCCCCUGA